CCGAAGACACACAGCCUCAUCCAGCCACUGAGUCACUAUUUUUCCAGUUCGAACAAGCAGACCUCUCCGGUAAAAAAAUAUAUGAUUUCGAAAUUUUCAUCAUGAAAAAGGAAAAAUUACAAAAAUAAAUUAUGAACCCGCCGCUUUGAACAUUUCACGCAUUGCAUCGAUCCGAAAAAAGCGAGUUGCUCUCUUUUCACGAACGUUUCUUCACCAAAAGCCUCGCUACAAAAGUCAUCUCCGCGUCAAAGUAUGUGCCACAAUUCAGUUCAAUGAAGACUCCAUUACACAAUGAAUUUGCGAAUAUUUUCCCAGUUUUUUCUUCAUAUUUCUUCUUAGUGCAUCUCUUACAUAUGAUACAGAGCGUUCCAAGUCCCCAACCCACCUUGGCUAGGUCAAGUUCCCAGACGUCGAUAUCAGAAUAUUUGAUAUUUGAGCCGCCUCCGAGCCCAAAUGUUCCUCUGUGCGAUCGCUCGAAGAUCAUCAACAAGUCUGCUGACGUCCACGACAUUUGCGAUAAGGAGUGCGCAGUCGUCACGGAGUCUAUCGAUGAGUUCUACACGAGAUAUGGUCACUACCACCCGGUUACAUGGCUUCACAAAAGAUGUGGUUUCAUCACUAAAGGCAACUGUGAUUUCUUAUUUCGAGAGUAUUUCCCGAUGUGCUAUUGUCUCACCCCAAUCGACGGCGCCGGACACAGAAGCAACUACGCACUCACAUGUCGUUACGCCAUCACGGGCAUCCGCAAUGUGUUGAACGCUGCUAUCUACGCCAGACAACGCGAGGCGAGACUGAGACAGGAACAAUUACGCAAGCUCCGCGCGAGGAAGAAACCCUAGGGACGCAUCCAGGAUCGACGUGAGGCAUGUUGAAUAAGACCCAAGCGGAUAUGCUUGUAAAAUUUUAGCGGAAAGGUGAAAAACUUACGUCUCACUCGGUAGUUUUCUCAAACUGAGUGUUCAGAGUACCAGCUGACCGAUUAUUGAAAUUGAUAGACAAAUCUAUAGGCAAAGCUAUAGACAAAGAAGACAAAGUUAUCUGGGGGAAUCCCAUUCUGCCGUGAUAAGGAAAAACGUCGUUUGAACCUUUAGGCGUUGCCAAAUUCCCUUGAUAAAACACAAGUUUCCUGGAACACUCAUGAAUAUUUAUACCUUUCAAUUUUUCAGAUAAAAUGGGCCUGUUGCAUACAAGAGAUACAGCCGUAUGAAUAGACUUUUCAGAGGUAAAAUGACACGAAAAUUACGAUGGUCACAUUAAAAAAGUCUGAAAUACACUCCUUACUGCGCAAUUUGCGUUGUUAGAAACGCGCUUCAAAUUUCCCGCGUCUGGGGGCAGUUUUCUAACGGAAACAAGUAACGGUAACUCGCGGCUAUUUCCGGUCAACUAAAACUGACAACAUAACCUGAAAAUCGGAGAUCGUGAUAUCGUGAAAUGAAAUGUAGAUGGAUUCCUAUGGAUAUUUAAAAGUUGAUUAAUUUAGUUACCGCGUAAAGCGUAUAUGGACCACUAUGAGAGAUCACGUUGGGUUUGUAAACAAACUGAAGGAAAAAAGAAGAACAACAACAACGACUCGGCAUUUUCCGGAAAUCACCGAGCCCGCCGUUUGCUCGUUUCCGGUGAUUAGAAAACUGCCCCCAGACGCGGGAAAUUUGAAAAAGCGCGUUCCCUACAACGCAAAUUGCGCAGUGAGGAGUGUAUUUCAGACUUUUUAAUGUGACCGUCGUAAUUUUCGUGUCAUUUAACCUCUAAAAAGUCUAUUCGCACGGCUGUGUCUCUUGCAUGCAACAGGCCCAUUGUUCGCAAUUUCACCUAAAGUCCCUGAAAAUUUCAGGGAAAAAUAGUCAUAUCUUUCCUAAAAAAUAAACAUUUUAUCGAAGGCAACUCUCGAAUGUUCAUACGGCGUUCUUUCUUAGCACGGCAGUAUUGGCGGAAGCAGGUGGUUGCAAUGGACAAAGGAGGUACGUAAUAGACAAAGUUAGCACUUAGCACCCACACGACCACGAGAGACCCGAUAGUUCUGCCGUGAUAGCAAAGAGAGCCGUAAGUGCAAAAUUUUCGAAAUUGAGUUUUCUUCAAAAUUCGUCUAAACUCUUUUAGAUGAAAUUACUGAGACAGCUAAAACAGCAAAAUUCAUCCAAAUUUAAUGAAAACGAGACGUAUGAGAAACCCGUAAGUGCACAAAAAAUGACUAUGGUUUUUUUCAAGACAGCCGUAGGUGCAUGAGAGCCAAUGAAAACAGUGCUUUCCAGUAAAGUGCCGCCCUCCUCUGCCAAUUUCUAACCUGAAAAUGUGUUUGUUGUGCGUCCAAAACGCAACCACGAAAGCAUGCAGAAGAUAGCACUUACGGCUGUCUUGCCUAACAAUAACCUAGCACGAAACUGAAUUUCACCUUUUUCAUGUACUUUAAAAUAAAAUCGGUCGAGUUUUAAUCCCCCAAAUGAUUUCUAGGAGUGAUCCGGACGAGUAGUGGCAAUUUGACAAAGAACGGAGGCUUCUUUCAAUUAAAUGUUCCGGUCAGAAGCUUCUGAGCCCGUUUUCUCAGAACUUCAUUUUUGCACUUACUGCUCCCUUCGCUAUCACGGCAGAGUUACUCAUCAUUUUCUCUCUUAGUCUAUAGGAAUCACCCACUUCAACCAAUAGGAUCGCUCCACACCCCCUGUCUUCCUUGUCUAUGGCUUUUUCUAUCAAUUUCAAUAAGUAGCCCGCAGACGCGCUUGAUUUCUGGAGAACCUGCAGUCUCUCAAACAGUUUUGUUCAACCGCACAGUGGAUCGAGUCAAUUAGAGAGGUUGGACAUGAAAAUUUUGACUAAAACUGCAAAUUUUUGUAUUUAGUUCGUCACAUUUUACAUUUCAAGGGAUGAUAAAUGUAGACAAUUUCACGAGAAAACCAAUGGAAUCACUUCUGGAAACUUAAAGUUUUGUAUAAACGGAGUUAUAAGCUUUUAAAGUUUCCAAAUUGUGUCCGAUCUCUCCUGUUCACUAAAUCCACUGUGAAAAAAUGAUUCCCAAAUUUUGUAUACACUGCGUUUUGUAUUUUGUAUAUUUUUUAGGCGUAUCAAAAAAAGGAAUGUAGGAGCCAACCCAUAGCUAGGACGGAAGUCGCAUUUAUUUUUGUAAAAAGUUCAAACAUGAAAAAGAGAAGACAAGGGUUAAAGAGUCAACAAAAACUGUAGCUGAACAUGUUUUGGAGGGUUUUACUCCUAAAACAUUUAUAACGUGUUUUUCACCGCGUGUUUAUUGUUCGACCAGAAUACUUAGUCCUAGAUGUCAUACGUAAAAUUCUAAUCAUUCAUUUAAAUACAUUUUCUGUUUGGCGAUUUUUUCAAAAAAGGUUGAAAAUUUUCGAAUCUUGUACUGUAAACUGUGUUUAAUGCGUGUAGUAUUGAACUCAUCUCACUACCCAAGAGUCACACGAAAUUUAUUCAAGUUUAAUCAAAUAAGUUGGAAACAAAAUGCUCAGUCAAUUUUGAAAAGUUAAAAAAAAUAGGUGAGAUCACUUAGGGAUACAAUUUUAGAAAAAAAUCCGAUUCUGGUAGAAUGUAUGAUAGGUCUGUUGGGUAUUGACUAGAGUGAAGGGGAAAUUUCAACGUGCAUAUUUUUGUUUCGUCAGAGCUAUGGAGCGAAUUGGAAGAAGAAACAUGAAAAAAACGCAUUAAAUUAACGGAGUUUUCCAUCUUUUAUCGAAAAUAAAACGAGUGAAUCACUGAAUCAUGUCAUUAAUUUUGAUGCAACAACUAAAUUGAAACUAUUAAUCUAUGGAACAAAUGUUGCACUCGAUCUUUUAGUUUCAUUAAUCGUAUUUUACGUAGCAUUUCGUUCCGAUGACAGAGAAAAUGAAAUGCAUUUUGCACCAUGUGCAAUUUGAAUAUAUUUACUCCGCCGUGCUAAGAGAGAACGCCGUAUGAAACUUCAGGUGUUGCCACAUUUCCAGUGGCGUGGCGUGAAUUGCGAUGUAUCGAUUGGUAUGCCAUUUAAACCUAUAGUAAAGAAUCGAUUAUUAAGGUGCUCGCUGCGAACACCCUGUUUAUCGAUCCUUUUCCAUUGGUUUAAAUGGCACAACAAUCGAUUUAUCGCAAAACACGGCACGCCACUGCACAUUUCCAUUUCCAAAACACGAAUUUCCUGGUAAACUUAUAAAUAUAUUAUCAUCUAAUUUUCUAUAUAAUGUUGUUUGCAAUUUCACCUUAAGUUCCUGAAAAUUUCAAGGAGAAAUGUCCAUAACAUUCCUCAAAAAUGAACAUUUUAUUGAAGGAAAUUUGGUAACACUCGAAUGUUUAUACGGCGUUCUUUCUUAGCAUGGCAGUACUGGCCCAUUUCCCUGACAUGAUAAACAAAAGAUGCCUUCACAUACUGUUUCCUAUGAUUUACUUCGAGAUUAUGUAAAAAUCUUUGUCCCAUGAGAUGUGUCAGAUUUUUACUUGUAUCUCGCACAUUUUUAUCUGGCACUCAUGCCUGGUUUCGUGAGAUGAGUAUGAAUGGGAGAACAAAAUCAAGACAAAAGGCAAGACAUUUAGACAGUUAUGAAGAUAGAAAAUAAAGUGUUUAAUACGGCUUAUAGCUUGUUCGUCGACGUCGCAUCAUCGUGAACGGCAGGCCCUUUGCUUCCAAUCUUGCGUUCUGCAACUAUCAAGCAAAGUGGGCAAAAGUUAGUCCCAUGUAAAUAAAAAUGACUGUAGGUAUGAAAUGGUUCUUUGGGCUGAUUUACGCAAAACCAGCCAAGCUGCAUUUUAUGUCGCCUAGUUUGACCAAAUUUUGCAAAAAGAAACUUAAGGCAACCGAAAUGGACUACUGGCGUAGAUCGGCCGGAGUGUCGAGAAAGGAUCGCAAGGAAUGAGAAGAUACGAGAAAUUAUGGGCGUCGAAAACAACAUAGUACAUGAAAUUUUUACAAAACAGCUUGUCUGGUAUGGUCAUGUGCAACGGAUGACAGAUGAUAGGUUGCCUAAGAAGGUUCUGGAUUGAGUCCCCCCUGGCAGAGAGCGU
rnacentral:lncRNA from 1 species